CCCUUAGAUGUUCUGGGCCGCACGCGCGCUACACUGAUGCAUUCAACGAGUCUAAAACCUGCUCUGAUAGGGGUGGGUAAUCUUUUGAAUGUGCAUCGUGAUUGGGAUAGAUGAUUGCAAUUUUUCAUCUUCAACGAGGAAUGCCUAGUAAACGCAAGUCAUCAGCUUGCAUUGAUUACGUCCCUGCCCUUUGUACACACCGCCCAUCGCUCCUACCGAUUGAAUGAUCCGAUGAAUAUCAUGGAUUGAGGAUGCAAGCAGGUUCGCCUGUCUUCAUCUUCGAGAAGUGAAGUAAAUCUUAUCAUUUAGAGGAAGGAGAAGUCGUAACA
rnacentral:rRNA from 1 species